CAUUUUACCUUAAUAUAAUGCAUUUUAGUAUGUUAUUUUAACCAAUGUUUUCAUUUUCAAUUCCACUUUCCCCUAAUAUAUGCCUUUCCAUGAAGAGAUGCAUGACAAAGUUCAGAAAGCCCAACUACAAAGGUUUCCAACACUGGCAAGCAAAAGAGAAAAAAAACCGGCUUGCAAGAAAUUGAUGUCAAAAAAUCAGGAUAACAUUGAUUUUAUGUCAAAGUGACAGCAUGAACAGAGCUACUUAAAAAAGGGGGACUCAGUUUAAUUACAUGUCUAAGACUGAAACCCUGUACAGACUAACCUUUGAUUUAAGCCCCUUUGAACUCAAUGGACUUACUUCUGAGUAAACAUGUAUAGAAUUGUGCUGUAAACCCUUAGUUUUACUGAAAUGACUAAUGAAGUGAUUUUGAUA